CAGGAGUUCAAGACCAGCCUGGCCAACAAGAGGUUUAUUUCGAACAACUGGCAAUUCCAGGAAUGAUGGAAUAAAGCAUACGAAGUAGAAGGACUGGAACCUCCAGAAAAAGUACUUUAAGUUACCUACAGGUGAUCCUAGUCAGGUAUGAAUUGAUAAGAAAUGCCUGCACCUUCCCUCCUUCCUAUCUUUCCCUUGCCUACAGAAAAUUAAAAGGCAAAACAAUGGACAUCUACAUAUUCUUCAUUCAGAUCAACCAGUGGCUAGCAUUUGCCACCUUUUGCAGUUUCUUUCUCUUUCCAUAAGUACUUUCUUCUCUGAAUCAUUUGAAAGCAAAUGAAAACAGUAGCCUAAAGUGUCAGUUUCAACCCGAAAAUAACAGCUCUGAUUUCUCAUGGCUCACACUCGUCUGAAAUGACUCGGGUAGAGGCUGAGGAAGGCUGUGUUGUUUGUCUACCUGGGACUACACCUACUGAAAGAAGUUCUCAAGUUCUGAUUGAGUUCUAAAAUUCUUUUGAAGAUUGGAAUUCUUCAUAUGUAAAAAGAGAAGAGAAAGACAUUCUUGAUUUUGGUGACUAGAGUUGUAGAUGCUGGAAGCUUUGCCACUAACAUUGAUGAACCAGAUGCAUGUCACCAGCCCAUCACGGUGAUUCUUAAUGCCGGCACCAUGGGCCGGCACUGCCACGUUUUCCAAGGAACCUGCCAGAGCUCCUGCGGAAGCUGCUCCUCGGGCGAUGGAGUCCCUUUGCUGCUAGGCCCUUCUUCAGUCACCACAGGAUGCCUGCCAUUCAUGAACAGGAAGGAGAGGACGGGCUUUGAAUAAAAAACAGGAUCCAGGAAAUAUUUGUGAGGCCAUUUGGACUUCAGUGUGAAAUGGUGUUAAAAGAUGAAGUCAUUUAUUCAAGAAGUAAACCUCUGCCACCUGGACUGUGCUCAGACAUUUCAUUGAUUUUGUUUAAUAAACAUUUUCUGGCUUUGG
rnacentral:lncRNA from 1 species